CCCUUAGACGUUCUGGGCCGCACGCGCGCUACACUGACCAGUGCAACAAGCAUCCGUCCUUGGCCGACAGGCUCGGGCAAUCUUUGAACGCUGGUCGUGAUGGGGAUAGACUUUUGCAAUUUUUGGUCUUCAACGAGGAAUUCCUAGUAAACGCAAGUCAUCAACUUGCAUUGAUUACGUCCCUGCCCUUUGUACACACCGCCCGUCGCACCUACCGAUUGAAUGGUCCGGUGAAAUCUCCGGACUGGCGUGAGUCGGAGCAAUCUGACAAACGCCGGAAAGUUGAUUAAACCUUACCAUUUAGAGGAAGGUGAANUCGUANCA
rnacentral:rRNA from 1 species